rnacentral:rRNA from 1 species
UACGUAGGGGGCAAGCGUUGUCCGGAAUCAUUGGGCGUAAAGAGCGUGUAGGCGGCUCGAUAAGUCUGCUGUGAAAGUCCAGGGCUCAACCCUGGAAGGCCGGUGGAAACUGUCGGGCUAGAGUUCGGAAGAGGCGAGUGGAAUUCCCGGUGUAGCGGUGAAAUGCGCAGAUAUCGGGAGGAACACCUAUGGCGAAGGCAGCUCGCUGGGACGUUUACUGACGCUGAGACGCGAAAGCGUGGGAGCAAAACAGG